rnacentral:lncRNA from 1 species
CACGGAGUCGUGGCGGGAGCCCAGGCCGCUGCGGACCACGCGAUCCCGCAGCCGGCGACUAGAGCCCACCUCUGCAGAGACAAAGGUGCUGAACCCUUUAUCCUUCGGGAUAAUCCGGUGUCUGGAGGACACCAGGCUCUCUGGUCUUGAGAACAGAUCUGGAAGCUACACCCCAGCUCACCAAAGACUCUCCAGCUUACACUAAACCACGGCCAAAUACAAAUGCCUAAAAACCCCAGAUGAACUCAAAGAUACAGGAGGCCAGAAUCUUAAGGACCUUCCAUUCCUCACGGGGUUGUUCAGCCCACGUGGGAAGAAUCGCGAGGUCAGUGGAGAGGUCUGGAUCUCCUUUUUAUAAAUAAGGUCAUCAUAGAAAGGCAUUUUCGUUAGUAAUGUCCGACUCAAUUAUUUCGGCAAGGAAUAGCUGAAAGUGGUGAAGGU